rnacentral:rRNA from 1 species
GAUGAACGCUGGCGGCGUGCCUAAUACAUGCGAGUCGAGCGAACAGACGAGGAGCUUGCUCCUCUGACGUUAGCGGCGGACGGGUGAGUAACACGUGGAUAACCUACCUAUAAGACCGGGAUAACUUCGGGAAACCGGAGCUAAUACCGGAUAAUAUAUUGAACCGCAUGGUUCAAUAGUGAAAGACGGUUUUGCUGUCACUUAUAGAUGGAUCCGCGCCGCAUUAGCUAGUUGGUAAGGUAACGGCUUACCAAGGCAACGAUGCGUAGCCGACCUGAGAGGGUGAUCGGCCACACUGGAACUGAGACACGGUCCAGACUCCUACGGGAGGCAGCAGUAGGGAAUCUUCCGCAAUGGGCGAAAGCCUGACGGAGCAACGCCGCGUGAGUGAUGAAGGUCUUCGGAUCGUAAAACUCUGUUAUUAGGGAAGAACAAAUGUGUAAGUAACUAUGCACGUCUUGACGGUACCUAAUCAGAAAGCCACGGCUAACUACGUG